CCUACGGGUGGCUGCAGUGAGGAAUAUUGGUCAAUGGACGCAAGCCUGAACCAGCCAUGCCGCGUGCAGGAAGACUGCCCUACGAGUUGUAAACUGCUUUUGUACGAGGGUAAACGCAGAUACGCGUACCUGUCUGAAAGUAUCGUACGAAUAAGGAUCGGCUAACUCCGUGCCAGCAGCCGCGGUAAUACGGAGGAUUCAAGCGUUAUCCGGAUUUAUUGGGUUUAAAGGGUGCGUAGGCGGUCGGUUAAGUUAGUGGUGAAAUUCCGAGGCUCAACUGCAGAAUUGCAUCUGAUACUGUUCGGCUAGAGAGGAGUUGCGGUAGGCGGAAUGUAUGGUGUAGCGGUGAAAUGCUUAGAGAUCAUACAGAACACCGAUUGCGAAGGCAGCUUACCAAGCUACUUCUGACGUUGAGGCACGAAAGCGUGGGGAGCAAACAGGAUUAGAUACCCGGGUAGUC
rnacentral:rRNA from 1 species